UGCAGUCCCUUCACCACCUAUCAUCACACCUGUCAGGGUCGAUGAUGAAGGCAUGGCUGGUGUAUCAGCUGCUGGAAUCCAACCACAUAAUAUUACUCCAUGUGAAUCCUCCACCAUCGGGGGAGAAACCUAUGAGGCCUUUCAAGGGAACCAUCAAGAUGGAACGGAUACAGUCUCCAAAGAUUUUCAGUUUCCUGGAGGGUAUGGAGAGGAGGAUUAUGCUGAAGUUGGAAAGGAUGCACGAGGACAUAAGAAAUGGCAAUGGUAGAGUCAUGGAGGCUGUGGAGUCCAGGCCAGGAAGGACAUCUGAGGCAGCUGAAGAGGACAUGUUAGAGGGUCCAUGUCAAAACCUCGCAGACUUGGAGGACCUCUGCAAAAAGAUUGCAGACCGCUCUUUUAAAAAGAAAAUGAUUCGGCACCUGAGCCUUCUUGGAGGCAGCAAUGUCGGGGAUGGGGUUGGAAGGAUGCUGAGAAAAAUCGGCACUAAUGAGCUGUGGAAGGGGUUCAGUUUAAAGGGGAGAAAGGGGAAGAGACCCUUCCACAGUUUAUUAAUUUAUGACGUGGUGAUACGUGCCUGCAGCCGUACCUUUCCGAAUGUGGACUGCCAGAAGGUGGAGGAGGCCAUUGCGGUUACCCUCAAACAUGCUCCCCACCGCAGAUCAACAAACCAGGUAUUGAUUCCGGACGACCUGGUGGAGGACGAGGAGGAGGAGGAGGGGGAGGACGAAGUGGAGGAAUAGGAGGAGGAGGAGGGAGAGGAGUCAAUCCAGGCUUUAACCCAUAAAUAAAGAAUUUGUUUAUACUUUAAACAGUGUUUUUUCUUCUAUAAGCAUAUACAUAAUAAGUUACAUACACAAUACAGCCUGUUAUACUGUAAGUAGAUUUAUUUUAAAUAAAGAAGUUAAAUAACAUUGUUGAGUGAACACAUUUAGUUUAGUUUUUCACUAUAGGCUACAUUUUACUAGUUAAUAUGCAUAUAUACUUUGUAUACAGAAAAAUAUCCAUUAAAUGCAUGUGACUAGGUUGAGAAAUUGAUCCUGCAUAUAUGAAGGUCCAAAGCAUGACCUGCUACCAAAAUCUGGGGAUGUCCCCUGAACGUCCCCUAAAUGUUGUGAGGACGUUACAUAGACGUCCCGGGGACGUUUGUUUGCGACGUCCCCGGGACCUUUAGGGAACCAUACAAAAGGACGUCAUGGGGACGUACCGGGGACGUCCCGGGGACGUUUGUUUGCGACGUCCCCGGGACCUUUAGGGAACCCUACAAAAAGACGUUGUGGGGACGUUCCCUUGCGACGUCCUUAUAACUUUCGGGGACGUUCAGGGGACGUCCUAGGGACGUCAUUUUGUUAGCUGGG
ensembl:lncRNA